rnacentral:rRNA from 1 species
CCCUUAGAUGGUCUGGGCGGCACGCGCGCUACAAUAAUGCAUUCAAAAAGUCUUCUGACCUUAGAAGGUUGGGUAUUCUCCAAAGUGCAUCGUGAUGGGAAUAGUUUAUUGCAAUUUUUAAUCUUGAACGAGGAAUUCCUAGUAAGUACAGGUCAUCAACUUGUGUUGAUUACGUCCCUGCCCUUUGUACACACCGCCCGUCGCUCCUACUGAUUGAGUGUCUCGGUGAAUUCUUUGAUCUUCUGUCGAUUCAGUUCACUGAUCCGACGGUGGAAAGUUGAAUGAACUUCGUCACUUAGAGGAAGGAGAAGUCGUAACA